rnacentral:rRNA from 1 species
UGGUGGCAUGCUUUACACAUGCAAGUCGAACGGCAGCGCGGGGGCAACCCUGGCGGCGAGUGGCGAACGGGUGAGUAAUGCAUCGGAACGUAUCCUGUAAUGGGGGAUAACGUAGCGAAAGUUACGCUAAUAUCGCAUACGCUCGAGAGAGGAAAGUGGGGGAUCGCAAGACCUCACGUUAUAGGAGCGGCCGAUGUCCGAUUAGCUAGUUGGUAGGGUAACGGCUUACCAAGGCUACGAUCUGUAACCGGUCUAAGAGGACGGUCGGUCACACUGACACUGAAUAACGGGUCAGACUCCUACGGGAGGCAGCAGUCGGGAACUUUGGGCAAUGGGCGAAAGCCUGACCCAGCAACGCCGCGUGAAGGAUGAAGUAUUUCGGUAUGUAAACUUC